rnacentral:tRNA from 1 species
ACCUGGGUGGCUCAGUCAGUUGAGCAUCAGACUUCAGCUCAGGCCAAGAUCUCAUGGUUUGUGGGUUCGAGUCCCACAUUGGGCU